CCUAUGGGGUGCACCAGGCGAGAAAACUUUGCAAUGUGCGAAAGCACGACAAGGUUAAUCCGAGUGGUUUCUGCUAAAGGAACCUUUUGUACAGUCCUAGAACACACUGUUGCANGAAGGGCNGGGCANUAAUGUGGUG
rnacentral:rRNA from 1 species